ACAGCAGUAGCCGCGGGAAUACGUAGGGUGCAAGCGUUAUCCGGAAUUAUUGGGCGUAAAGAGCUCGUAGGCGGUUUGUCGCGUCUGUCGUGAAAGUCCGGGGCUCAACUCCGGAUCUGCGGUGGGUACGGGCAGACUAGAGUGAUGUAGGGGAGACUGGAAUUCCUGGUGUAGCGGUGGAAUGCGCAGAUAUCAGGAGGAACACCGAUGGCGAAGGCAGGUCUCUGGGCAUUAACUGACGCUGAGGAGCGAAAGCAUGGGGAGCGAACAGGAUUAGAUACCCGAGUAGUCCCUGUCUCUUAUAC
rnacentral:rRNA from 1 species